rnacentral:rRNA from 1 species
AUUGAACGCUGGCGGCAGGCCUAACACAUGCAAGUCGAACGGUAACAGGAAGCAGCUUGCUGCUUUGCUGACGAGUGGCGGACGGGUGAGUAAUGUCUGGGAAACUGCCUGAUGGAGGGGGAUAACUACUGGAAACGGUAGCUAAUACCGCAUAACGUCGCAAGACCAAAGAGGGGGACCUUCGGGCCUCUUGCCAUCGGAUGUGCCCAGAUGGGAUUAGCUAGUAGGUGGGGUAACGGCUCACCUAGGCGACGAUCCCUAGCUGGUCUGAGAGGAUGACCAGCCACACUGGAACUGAGACACGGUCCAGACUCCUACGGGAGGCAGCAGGGGGGAAUAUUGCACAAUGGGCGCAAGCCUGAUGCAGCCAUGCCGCGUGUAUGAAGAAGGCCUUCGGGUUGUAAAGUACUUUCAGCGGGGAGGAAGGGAGUAAAGUUAAUACCUUUGCUCAUGGACGUUACCCGCAGAAGAAGCACCGGCUAACUCCGU